UGAGUGAUUGUUGAUCAGUUGACCAAACUAGUUCAUUUCCUACCGAUCAUUUUUAUUUAUGAGCCGUGAUAUAUAUUGAUGAGAUAAUGUACCUACGUGGAACACCUCUCCCUGUUGACUACGCUUAUGUGGCAAUAUUGUGCAACAAAAAAAAUAGCACUCAAAAAAGGAGCAUAAAUGUUAGAGAACAAAAAACACUUUUCUCUUCAUGUUUUUGACCCUUUGGUCACUCUCUUGUUUGGCCUCAGCAUCUUUGAGGUAUGAUUGCAUGUUCUCAUCCCUUUUUUGAUUGAUUCAAUUGAUGUUCUCGAACAACAGAUAAAAACAAGAAAUUAGGCUCACGAGCUAUUUCUGCAGCCUCAUUGGUCACUGUUGUUAAUAAUAUUUCUACCAUAUUUCCAAUCUAAAUUACUGCGGAAUAGUGAAGCUUCAUCCGUUCUUUCUGUCCAGGUGCAAGUCUGCAUCUUCACAAACAUGUCAUUUCACCGAGCCUCUCUCCGAGACAAUGCGCAGAUAAUUCGCCUUUCAUGAGGAUCGAAACUUACCCGAUGAAUUUCGUUACCUUAAGACGGUUAAAUUUAUGGCCGCCGUUUACCCGGUCUUUGGCCGUCAGCUCCCUGUUAUCAGGUCACCAACUUCCUUGACCCUUCCAGCAAUGGGCAUGCAUCAGCUCCCAUACAUGGUCUUACGACUUUGCGGAGACCAACGUUUUUGAUAAGCACUCGCCCUGAAUUGUGUAAUGCACACCGUUGGAUAGCUGAUAUCAGUAUAUCCUUUAUCAUAUGGAAGGUCAACCUUCUGAAAUGCCUAAAUCAAUUCAUUCUUUAAGUCAACAAUCCCCUGCAUAAAAGAAAUUGCCACCUACCUUACAAUAGAAUAAAAAGAAAAAGGAUUGGGCGUCCAUUUCUUCUUGGUCAAACUAUUAUUGAUGGAAAAAGAUUUAAUAUAGCAAAAUAAAUCUUGACUAAUGUUCCAAUGUAUCUGAAUCUACACAUCUUCAAAGGCUAUACCUCUAAAAAUUCUUGAACUGCCUUCCUAUCAAGGUUAGCCAUGAUAUAAUGUGAGCAAAUCUUAUUGAGUAGGCUAAAAAAUUAUCAUAAAUCCCUUUGAAUGUCCUUUAUACACAAUGUUGGACAUUUUUUUGAUAAGGUAAAUUGUAUUAAUCAAAAGGGAGAAAACUCCCGUAUACAAGAAGUAUACUAAAAAGUAGAGAAUUUACACUAAAAUAUGAUUCUCUACAAAAGACGCACAAUCUUCUAUACUAGUAGGGGCUAUAUGAGUGCACCAAAAAGCGAUCAAAGAUAAAAGACUAUUCUUAAGAUGUGAAAAAUGAGACUCAAUCCCCUCAAAUCUCUCCUAUUUCUCUCCCUCCAAACUAUCCACAUGAAAGCUAGCGGUGCGAACUUCCACGCUUUUUGCUUUCUUCUUCUACGGAAACCGACUCAACUAUAUAACAUUUCCUUUACAGUGCUUGGCAUCACCCAUUGAACACCAAAAAAAUUCAGGAUUGCCCUCCACAAAUCCGAGGACACAGGGCAAUGCAACAAAAGAUGAUCAACUUCUUCCCCUGAGCUUUUACACAUGUAGCACCAACUAACAAGUGUAAUUCCUCUCUUUCGGAGAUUUUCAGCGGUCUAUCUAAUAAAAACACAGAAGAUUCUACUCUGGCAGAAUUUCUUAGUAGAAUUAGUAUCUGAAUCAUUUGAGUGCCUCUUAAAUAUGGAUGCAGCUAUAUACAGAAACCAGUAUAUAAUAAAUCCCUACCUUUUGUAACAAAUAUUUUUCAAAGAUCACCUAGAGAAAUCAAGCACUGUAACAAUUAGCAACACUCAUACAUGUCCAUAGAGAAAGCAGUUUAUAAUAGAAAAUGAAAUGACCAUCGUCCCUUUGAAAGGAGAUGUUUGCAGCACAAGGAAAAGGAGAACUAUGGUAAAAGGUCAUAUACACAAUUAACAAAGUCAAUAUUAUAUCUACUUGAUAACUAAUAGAAUGUCUUUCUCUUUCAGAACUCAAAACUAUAACCUGAUUGAUAAGUCUGGAAAAUUGUCUGGUUUGUCCUCCCAAGUAAGAACAGAUUGUCUCUGUUCAUGUAUUUCUUGUUUGGUCAGCUGCAAUAUAAAGUGUUGGUAUUCCACGGUAAAGUUGCUGUCAUGUGACCAGGAGGUCACGGGUUCUGAGCCGUGGAAAUAGCCUCUUGCAAAAACGCAGGAUAAGGCUGCGUACAAUAGACCCUUGUGGUCCGGCCCUUCCCCAGACCCCGCACAUAGCAGGAGCUUAGUGCACCGGGCUGUGAAAAAGGAAAAAAAGGGUCUUCCAUGGUGUGUUGGCACUUGGCAAUUGACAGUUUCAAAGAAUUCCAAAGGCCAAGCUAUAACUUAAAUAUAGGUCCCUAUUGAAAGCCUAGCUAUUUUAUUACUAAGAAUUCAAGGACCUGAAAUCAUGCAUACCACUAACUCUACAACCAACAAUAGGAUUAAAGAUUUAAAAGUUGAAAUCCACAAGCCAGAUAGCAGAGUUCGUGCCUUUCACUAUUUUAUUGCAUUUAAAAUUCUUAAAUUCCAUCUGUCCCAUGUUGAGCUAGGAAAGACUUUAAUAUUAUUUCCUUUUGUUCUCCUGGUGUUGGAUGGAUGCCUAAUUCUUAAUAUUUAUGAAGGGGCCAGGAGAUGGUUGACUUUAGAACAAUAGAUAGAUACAUCAGUAGGUUGACCAGCAAUACAAAGAAGAAUUCAGAACUAUUAGCAUUGCAAUAGAGAUAACAUUACACAAUUUGACUCUCAGAUUCAAUUUGUGACAACAAAACAUGGCAGAAAUUCUGCUGACGGUAGUAAUCAAGAAGGCUGCAGAUAUUGCCGGUGAACUUAUUUCAGCACAAGUUUCUAGGUACAGUAAAUUGCCAGAGAACACAAAAUGGAUCGAAAGAGAGAUGAGACACAUGCAAUCUUACCUCAAAGAUGCUGAGUCCAAGCAAGCAAGAGACCAAAGAAUCAAGAACAUGAUCAAGGAUAUUGAAGAAAUUGCUCGUGAUGUGGAAGAUAUUCUGGAUGAGUUUCUUCCCAAAGUUGCAUCCAAGGGAGGAAAAUCACUAGGGUUUUUAAAGAAGACUUUUCAAGCCAUUCCGUUUGCAAUAGCUGCAUUUAAGUUUGUUUCAGAAAUUGAGAAGAUCAAGAGAAGGGUGCAUGAAAUUGAUCGCAUAAGAACAACUUAUGGUAUCAUGGAUACCAGUGCUAGUGCUGAAGCUGAUGGCAACUGGGAUUUUAGAAGAUCAUUUCUCUAUGCCGAUGAACCUGAUGUUGUUGGUCUAGACAAAGAUUGCCAAAGUUUAGAGGCCAAAUUACUUGAUGCACAUUUAAGGUACGCUGUAGUCUCAAUAGUUGGCAUGCCAGGUCUGGGAAAGACAACACUUGGAAAGAGAAUUUACAGGCGUGUUCAAGGUAAUUUCGAGUGCUCCGCUUUAGUCUAUAUUUCUCAAGAGCCAAGAAUGAGGGAGCUUCUACUCAGCAUAGCUAGACAAGUAGGCCUACCAGAAGGAAGGAGAGAUGAGGACUUGGAGUCCAACUUGAGCACAUUCUUGAAGGAAAAAAGGUAUCUUGUUUUCUUGGAUGACAUUUGGAAUACUAGAACUUGGGAUUGUUUGAAACUUGUCUUUCCCAACAAUUGUAAAAGUGGCAGUAGGCUUAUUAUUACUUCACGAAAUAAUAAUGUUGGUCGAUACAUUGGAGGUGAAAAAUCACUUCAUAAGUUGCAACCUCUAGAUCCAGAAAAUAGCUGGAAGCUAUUCUCCAAGAUGAUCACAACCCUUCAAGAAACCACCAUCGAUCCACCAGAGCUGACAGACAUUGCUAGAAAGAUAGUAGGAAGAUGUGGUGGCGUGCCUCUAGCUAUUGAGAUGACAGCAGGUAUGUUGCGUGCCCGAGAAAGAACAGAACUUGAAUGGAAUGGGAUACUCAAGAAAAUAGGUCUAGAUGAUCAAGACAAAUUCUCAAAGAUUUUGACUUUGAGUUACACGGAUUUGCCGGCCACUUUAAAACCUUGCUUUCUCUAUUUUGGACUCUUUCCUGAGGAUACACAAAUAUAUGCUUCUGAUUUGAUCAACAUGUGGGUUGCUGAGAAAUUUAUAGGAACUGAAAGGGGAUGGAUGCUACAGAUAUUGGGGCAGACUACCUAAACAUCUUGGUGGCUCGGAAUUUAAUCCAGGUUGCUAGUAGAGGAUUCGAUGGAAGGAUCAAAAGUUGUCGAAUUCAUGAUCUUUUACACGAUCUUUGCAUUACACUGGCUGAAGAGAACAACUUUUUUCAGAAGGUAGACAGCAGAGGUUUUGGUGCUACGACUACCAGAAUUCGAAGACUUGCUCUCCAUCCUCAACAUGUCACUGAGUAUGUCACUUCAAACUCCGAAGCUCCCAAGAUUCGCGCUUUGCUAUGUUUCACCAGUGAUUACCAGGGAAUCGACCAGCAACAUCUCCAACAUAUGAUUUCCAGAUUCAGGUUCCUACGUGUUUUGAGUCUAGAGGCUAGAUAUUCUUGGUGCUCUUUGCCAAAUGAAAUUGUGAACAUGAACCACUUAAGUCACAUUAAACUAAAAGGAACUUUCCAUGGAGAAUUUCCUUCCCGUAUAUGUUAUCUUGAAACGCUUCUUACCUUGGACAUCCGAGGAUGUUUGGGAACCAUAUUCCUUCCUACGUCUGUCUGGAGGAUGAGGCAAGUAAGAUAUCUCCUUCUUGGAUAUACUACUAACUUCAUAUCCUCAUUUUCUCUCACACGCAGAUUUAAGCACAAAAAUCUGUCCCUUCCAGAUAAGGCAGAUUCAGUAAAUCUCCAGACACUGUACAAUGUACAAUGCAAGUAUUUGAAACCAAGCUGGUUCUCUAAAUUCAUCAAUUUAAGAAGCUUGAAGAUAAGGUAUAUCUCAGAAGAGAUAUUGAGGGCAUUGAUGGAUGCAGCUCAUGUGUUACAGAAGCUCGAGAAGCUUUGUUUGAGCGGAAAUUUUGACGACAGAUUUAUAAGUAUUGACGCAGAGGCAAUCAGCAGUACAUAUUAUGCACAGACAUUCAAUCUUUCUGGCUAUCAUUAUCUUACCAAGCUGAAUAUUGAGCACAUACCACUGAAAAAACUACCCAACUCAGAAGCAUUUCCUCCAAAUAUUGUCAAACUUACUAUUUCCGCAUUUACAAUGACAGAAGAUCCAAUGAAUACACUAAAAAGACUACUCAAAUUGAAGAUCUUGAAACUCAGAGACUUUGACUACAAGAGUGUAAACAAGCUGGAUUGCUCUGGAGUAGAUAGUUUUCCGCAACUUGAACUGGUCGAAAUUGAAGAUUGUAGUUCUCUACAAGAAUUGAUAGCGGAUGAUAUGGGAAUGCCAAAGAUCAAGAAGAUUGUAGUUCUUAACUGUCCUUCAUUAAAGAAAAUCUCAGGGAGACUUCAAUGCAGAUUGCUGGAGAAGACAUCUGAUGCAAAAAGGAGGAGAAAAUAAUGGAUGUUGGUAUUGUUGUUUUGAUAGAUUGAGACUCCAUGCCAUUGUUCUUUUAUUUGUUAAGACAUCCUCAAUAUCCACAGACUUGCUUCAACAUGUUUUCCCUGCUAGCCUCACUGUAUUUCAUAGGCACACACAAUCAUGAUACUCCUUUUCUUCCUUCCCAUACUCCUUUUUCACCUAACAUCUGUAUACUUUCAAAACAAUAAUGGAGAUUUGGUUGCCAAUGGAAUGUGCUGUCAUUGUUCUAAUAAUCUAUAGUAGUAAAAUUCAAUUUCUCAAUCUUAAUGCAAUUCAUGUCAAGAAGAUUGCUACUCACAGCCUCGCACAUUACGUGGAUUGAAAGUUCUUGAUUCUACAACUCUUACACUAAACUUAAUCCAUGAAAUGAGUUAUGUGAUAAAAGACAAGGAUUUUCUCGAGUUAGGGAUGGCAAUGGGGCGAGGCGGAGCGGGACGGGUUAAAACAAUUUUUAAAAUUUUUAAAGCGGGGCGGGACGGGUUGCGGGUUCAAUGCGGGGAAACUUUGAAUUUUAUCUUUUUUGAAACAAAGCAAUCAUUUCAACUACAAUUUCACAUUCUUCUGCACUAGCACAAAUACUAUUUUGAUUUAUAAUUAACCAAUUUGCAUAAGUCUCACCAAAAUGAUAUUACAUAAAUCAAGAUAUCGUAUUAGUAAUAGGAAAUGAUAGUAACCCAUUUAUUUUGGAAGAUCGGCAUAAUACUCUCUCAAUUUUAUGUUUAUGUGAUUCUAUUAAACUCUCCAUUUUAUAAAAUAAUAAAAUGUCAAACUAGUUUGUUUUAGAAAAAAAAAUUAAAGAAGAAAGAAAAGAAAUAAGUGGGGCAGGGCAGGGCGGGUUGAAAACUUUGUGGGUUUUGCCAAACCCGCCCCACCCCACCCCAUUGUCAUCCCUAAAUAGAGCUCUUGCCUAAAAACUAACUAUGUCAUUACUAUCACAGUGAAGUUAGCAACUUUCAUCCAACCUUUACGAAAUGUUCAUUCAAAAACUAAUGGUGCAAAUGAAAACCAAAUGGAAGCCACGCAAUUAUGACUACAAUUAUGACUAAAAUUACUUCCAAACUAAAAAAUGUUUGAAUUUGGAAGAACUGAAUUAGCAUGUUUCAGUUUUUAGUCACCAAAAUAACUCAAAUCAAUCUUCUAAUAUUACAAAUAAACUAAAAUUUUCUGAUAACUCAAAACACAAUAGAAUUACCUGAAUCAGAAGAUUUUGGACUGUUUUGUGAAGGAAUUGGAGGUUGGAUAUAGGUUAUCUUUGCUAAUACUCACUCAAAAUUACUUCAUUCGCCGUCGAAAAUGGAGGAAUACAUCGGAGGGGCGGCGAAGUUUUCUGAUAGUGGAGGGGAAAGUGUGUUUUAGUUCAAACAAAACGGACCUAAUGCGAUUAUAAACGCAGUGC
rnacentral:lncRNA from 1 species